GUUUGCUCUCUGCUCUCUUCUUAACUACCUUCCUGCCGGAGCUGUCCAGAGAGGGAGACUGAGGACCCAAAGGAGUCCGGGAGAGAAGGCUGACAGAUCAGAGAGGCGCUGGCAGUGGACUUUAGGGAGCUCGGCUGAUACUGCUCCCUCCCUGGGCUUCGGCAAGAGUCUUUCCCUGUCUAACACGAGGGGUGAGGAUCAUAUUUUUAUUUUGGAAACUAAAAAGUGCUCCCAGGGUCGGUGAUCAUUAAGGGGAAAUCCCUGAAUAUACUCUCCAGCCAAGAAGGCAGGGCUGCCCGCCUGCACUAGAAGAGGCAGCAGCCUCCUACAGCACCACUACAGGCACCGCGAGGACAUAACACCACAGAGCAGUUCCUCUGCCCUCCGAAACGACAACUUUCCUACCAUCUUGGAGGCAGAGGAGAGAGGGGCCAAGGGGAGAAGUGCACCGGCUCCAGAUAAAGUCCAAAUUUCUACCUCUCAUCGCUGGAAAAAAGCCCAUACUUGAGAAAAAGUAGGGAAGAAUGAGAAAGGAAGUCGUGUGCUCCGUGGUGGGGAAUGUUUCUGCACCUUCUGAUGGAAAGAAAUCUUUACAAGACACAGGUUUUACGAUAUUAUUGUUUUCCAUGUUAACUUUUUCCAUAGGGGUGACAGUGGGAGCUUACUUUUUUUCUUUUUCUUUUUUUCUUUUUUUUUUUUUUCAUGAUUUUUCUCUAUGGCAGGUCCAAGUUCUGUAUCUGGUGGCCAGUCUGUAAAUUGGCACUUGAGAGACUUAGAGGUCACGGUAUUGUCUUUAUUUAACGCUCGUUUAUGUUGUAUGUAUUCGUACUUAUGGUUUCAUGUAUUAGAGUUAAGAUUUUGUGGUUUUGGUAUCUGAGAAACUGAAGCUGCUGAGAAUCAAUUGUAAAGACAUGGCUUUUGUCUUCUCUCAGAGCAAUGUAAGUAAAACCUAUUGACUGCC